GCAACCUACGGGACGCAGCAGUGGGGAAUAUUGCACAAUGGGGGAAACCCUGAUGCAGCGACGCCGCGUGAAGGAAGAAGUAUUUCGGUAUGUAAACUUCUAUCAGCAGGGAAGAAAAUGACGGUACCUGACUAAGAAGCCCCGGCUAACUACGUGCCAGCAGCCGCAGUAAUACGUAGGGGGCAAGCGUUAUCCGGAUUUACUGGGUGUAAAGGGAGCGUAGACGGUGUGGCAAGUCUGAAGUGAAAGCCCGGGGCUCAACCCCGGGACUGCUUUGGAGACUGUCAUGCUGGAGUGCUGGAGCG
rnacentral:rRNA from 1 species